rnacentral:tRNA from 1 species
CAGUAGGUAGUCUAGAUUAGAAUAUUAAUUUUGGAGAUUAAUGGCGUGAAUACUCAUCUUACUGA